GGAAUGAACGUGGAAGUGUAUCCAACUGGAAGAAUAAGUCCAAACCAAGGAGAUUUUGAGAGUCAAACUUAGGGAAAACCAAGAAGAAACUAAAAGUCCAGAGAUUGAACCACCAAAUAUGGGGACGUUAAGCAUGCAGCAACUACAGUCAUUUGUUCUCAGAGGUCUGGACCAAAGAGAAACAAGAAAAGCUGGAGUCACACUACCAAAGGCCGAAGCUGAGCAACAGAGCUCUGGAGUCAGCUGCCUGGGUUCAGCAUGCAGCGCUGCCGUGGACGAUCUGUCUCUCUUGCAUAUAUGACUUACCAGUUUUACUUUCAGUCUCUCCAUUUCUAAUUAAAUGAGAUGCAGAAAUGCUGGUGCCUUGCUAUGAUGUUUGCAGUUAUUAUUUCUAGGAAAAAAAAUAUUAUUGUUACUCAGUAUCUGGUACAUCAAAACUAAGCCAGAAACGUUUAAAAAGAACAAAAGUAUCAUUUCUACUUAAUUCUCUAGCUACUUGGACAACUGGACUAUGCCCCUCCUUUCAAGGGAGGGCAAAGCAUUUCAGAAAAGAACUAAGUGCUAUUUCUCUGCUUCAGGAAUGUCUCCCGUAUGUAAAAGAAUGUGGCUUCAGGGAGUAGCAUGUGUUGUAAAGGUGGAUGGGUCUAACUUCAUGGACAGCUCUGACAUCCACUAGCUAUGCCACCUGAUGCAAACCACUU
rnacentral:lncRNA from 1 species